rnacentral:rRNA from 1 species
UACAGAGGUCCCGAGCGUUGUUCGGAAUUACUGGGCGUAAAGCGUGCGCAGGCGGCUUUGCAAGACAGAUGUGAAAUCCCCGGGCUCAACCUGGGAACUGCAUUUGUGACUGCAUGGCUGGAGUGCGGCAGAGGGGGAUGGAAUUCCGCGUGUAGCAGUGAAAUGCGUAGAUAUGCGGAGGAACACCGAUGGCGAAGGCAAUCCCCUGGGCCUGCACUGACGCUCAUGCACGAAAGCGUGGGGAGCAAACAGG